GUACCGGGCCGCUCCUCCAUGACCAACGCCAA
rnacentral:scRNA from 1 species